rnacentral:lncRNA from 13 species
CCACCCACCUCGGCCAUCCAAAGUGCCAGGAUUACAGGCAUGAGCACCGCUCCCCAACUUGCAGCGUGAUGUCAUCUGAAUAAACACAAAAGAAUGGGAACAAAACUGGAAAGAAAUGUGCCAAAAAAGAUAACAGUAACUCCCUGCAUUCACUAGGAUUAUAGGUGUAAUGAGAUUCAUUGAAGAAUUCGAAGAGCAGAAUGAGCAACAGAUUUUCCUUAGUGAAAGCUUCUCUAGCUGCUACAUGAAGCAUUGGAUAGACAAAGGGGCCAAGAUGGCUGACUAG